GAUGAACGCUAGCUACAGGCUUAACACAUGCAAGUCGAGGGGCAGCAUGGUCUUAGCUUGCUAAGGCCGAUGGCGACCGGCGCACGGGUGAGUAACACGUAUCCAACCUGCCGUCUACUCUUGGACAGCCUUCUGAAAGGAAGAUUAAUACAAGAUGGCAUCAUGAGUCCGCAUGUUCACAUGAUUAAAGGUAUUCCGGUAGACGAUGGGGAUGCGUUCCAUUAGAUAGUAGGCGGGGUAACGGCCCACCUAGUCUUCGAUGGAUAGGGGUUCUGAGAGGAAGGUCCCCCACAUUGGAACUGAGACACGGUCCAAACUCCUACGGGAGGCAGCAGUGAGGAAUAUUGGUCAAUGGGCGAGAGCCUGAACCAGCCAAGUAGCGUGAAGGAUGACUGCCCUAUGGGUUGUAAACUUCUUUUAUAAAGGAAUAAAGUCGGGUAUGCAUACCCGUUUGCAUGUACUUUAUGAAUAAGGAUCGGCUAACUCCGUGCCAGCAGCCGCGGUAAUACGGAGGAUCCGAGCGUUAUCCGGAUUUAUUGGGUUUAAAGGGAGCGUAGAUGGAUGUUUAAGUCAGUUGUGAAAGUUUGCGGCUCAACCGUAAAAUUGCAGUUGAUACUGGAUAUCUUGAGUGCAGUUGAGGCAGGCGGAAUUCGUGGUGUAGCGGUGAAAUGCUUAGAUAUCACGAAGAACUCCGAUUGCGAAGGCAGCCUGCUAAGCUGCAACUGACAUUGAGGCUCGAAAGUGUGNGUAUCAAACAGG
rnacentral:rRNA from 1 species